rnacentral:tRNA from 1 species
GCAAUGGUGGUUCAGUGGUAGAAUUCUUGCCUUCCAUGCAGGAGACCUGGGUUUGACACCCAGACAACGUA